ACAGUCAAAUACCAGACACGUAACAAAUCAAAUGGAUGUAUGUCUCCUAGAUACGUUUCUCGCGUGUGGAUCAGCCGGACAGGCCUAAGAUGUUUCCGUUGGUCUCGAGCUGACGGGGAGAGGAGAGGGGAGGCGGGGCAGCGGAUAUUCGGUGCGAGCUCCCGGUGAUCACCGAAGAUGACGGAAUUGGACAAGGAUGAAAAAGGAUUUGCCAGUUGAUCGUCGACUCCAUUCAUGAUCACCGCUAAGAUAACGGAAGUAUGACGUUGACAUGAUCAGUCCAAUCAAAGCCUCUGUACAUUUUAACUUGAUUUGACAGCAUUUUAUCUGUGGCCAAUGACCUUGAGCGUUCUUGGAUGGGCACUUCUAAUGUAACAACCGAAGGACUAGAAUUUUCAAGGUCUCCUCCUACACUUGGCAGUGACGUAAAGCCCCUGUGAUUGACAGAACACUAAGCCAAUCACGGCGCAACGCUCCGUAUUUUCUGCUGGCUUGCCCCAACACCACAGAAAGCACCGAGCUCGGCUGAAUCACCUGCAUUUUGUAGCUGCCUUACUGUAGAAAACAAAAAAAGAGAGUGUUUGUUUGCGGCUUAAUCAACUCAAUGAUAUACAUUAUUUUUUACAUUGUUUGCAAACUGAUACGUGAUAUUUAAGCCAAAAUAACAUGCACAACAGGCAAGAUCCCCCCCCCCAAAUUGUAUUUAUUUAUUUUUGCUAAAAAUGUGGGUCUCUGCCCCACCUGCCCUGAAUGACAGGCCGCCUCUGGGUGUGACCACCAUUUGUCUCAUGCAGCGCAACACAUCUCCUUCGCAUAGAGUUGAUCAGGCUGUUGAUUGUGGCCUGUGGAAUGUUGUCCCACUCCUCUUCAAUGGCUGUGUGAAGUUGCUGGAUAUUGGAACUAGAACACGGUGUUGUACACGUCGAUCCAGAGCAUCCCAAACAUGCUCAAUGGGUGACAUGUCUGGUGAGUAUGCAGGUUAUAGAACAACUGGGACAUUUUCAGCUUCCAGUAAUUGUGUACAGAUCCUUGCGACUUGGGGCCGUGCUUUAUCAUGCUGAAACAUGAGGUGAUGGAGGAUGAAUGGGACGACAAUGGGCCUCAGGAUCUCGUCACGGAAUCUUGGGGAGUUCAAAUUGCCAUCGAUAAAAUUCAAUUGUGUUCGUUGUCCGUAGCUUAUGCCUACCCAUAACCCCCCAACGUUGACAUCAGAAAACCGUUCAUCAACACGCCGUCUUCGAUUGUGAGGCCCGGUUGUACUUACUUCCAAAUUCUCAUAAACGACUUUGGAGGCGGCUUAUGGUAGAGACAUUAACAUUAACAUUCAACAGUUCUGGUGGACAUUCCUGCAGUCAGCAUGCCAAACUUGAGACAUCUGUGUCAACAAAACUGCACAUUUUAGAGCAGACUUUUUAUUGCCCACAGCACAAGGUGCACCUGUGUAAUGAUCAUGUUUAAUCAGCUUCUUGAUAUGCCACACCUGUCAGGUGGAUGGAUUAUCUUGGCAAAGUAGAAAUGCUCACCAGCAGUGAUGUAAACAAAGUUGUGCACAACAUUUUUGAGAAAUACGUUUUUUUGUGUGUAUGGAACAUUUCUGUGAUCUUUUAUUUCAACUCAUAAAACAUAGAGACACUUUA